UACGUAGGUGGCGAGCGUUGUCCGGAUUUACUGGGCGUAAAGAGCGCGCAGGCGGUCGAUCAAGUCGGAUGUGAAAGCCCCCGGCUCAACUGGGGAGGGUCAUUCGAUACUGGUCGACUCGAAGGCAGGAGAGGGUAGUGGAAUUCCCGGUGUAGUGGUGAAAUGCGUAGAUAUCGGGAGGAACACCAGUGGCGAAGGCGACUACCUGGCCUGUUCUUGACGCUGAGGCGCGAAAGCUAGGGGAGCAAACGGG
rnacentral:rRNA from 1 species